rnacentral:rRNA from 1 species
CUACGGGAGGCAGCAGUGGGGAAUAUUGGACAAUGGGGGAAACCCUGAUCCAGCAAUGCCGCGUGCGUGAAGAAGGCCUGCGGGUUGUAAAGCACUUUCGGUUGGGAGGACUGCUUCUAGCACUAAUAUUGUUGGAAGUUGACGUUACCUUCAGAAGAAGCACCGGCUAACUCCGUGCCAGCAGCCGCGGUAAUACGGAGGGUGCACGCGUUAAUCGGAAUUACUGGGCGUAAAGCGCGCGUAGGCGGCUAGGUCAGUCGGGUGUGAAAGCCCCGGGCUUAACCUGGGAACUGCAUCCGAUACUGUCUAGCUUGAGUACAGGAGAGGAGAGUGGAAUUCCACAUGUAGCGGUGAAAUGCGUAGAUAUGUGGAGGAACACCAAUGGCGAAGGCAGCUCUCUGGCCUGAUACUGACGCUGAGGUGCGAAAGCGUGGGGAGCAAACAGGAUUAGAUACCCGCGUAGUC